AUACCCCACUAUGCUUAGCCAUAAACCCAGAUAUUUAACAUACAAAAAUAUCCGCCAGAGAACUACGAGCAAAACGCUUAAAACUCUAAGGACUUGGCGGUACCUUAAACCCCCCUAGAGGAGCCUGUUCUAUAAUCGAUAAUCCACGAUCUACCUCACCAUCUCUUGCCAAUACCGCCUAUAUACCGCCGUCACCAGCCUACCCUAUGAAGGAUAUAAAAGUAGGCAAAAUCGCACAACAGCUAACAAGUCAGGUCAAGGUGUAGCUUACUGAGAUGGAAGAAAUGGGCUACAUUUUCUAAACUAGAAAUCAUUUCACGGAAAGAACUAUGAAACAAGUUCUAUAAGCAGGAUUUAGCAGUAAAUAGGGAUCAGAAUGCCCAAUUUAAGCCGGUCCUAAGGUACGCACACACCGCCCGUCACCCUCCUCAAACAACCAUUAUCCAUAAAUAAACCGCAACAAGCAAACAGAUGAGGCAAGUCGUAACAAGGUAAGUAUACCGGAAGGUGUACUUGGAACACU
rnacentral:rRNA from 1 species